GAUGAAGAACGUAGCGAAAUGCGAUAACUAAUGUGAAUUGCAGAAUUCCGUGAAUCAUCGAGUCUUUGAACGCACAUUGCGCCCCCUGGUAUUCCGGGGGGCAUGCCUGUCCGAGCGUCAUUGCUGCCCAUCAAGCACGGCUUGUGUGUUGGGUCCUCGUCCCCCCCGGGGGACGUGCCCGAAAGGCAGCGGCGGCACCGCGUCCGGUCCUCGAGCGUAUGGGGCUUUGUCACCCGCUCUGCAGGCCCGGCCGGCGCUGGCCGACGCGAAAGCAACCAUUUUUUCGCCAGGUUGACCUCGGAUCAGGUAGGGAUACCCGCUGAACUUAAGCAUAUCAAUAGCGGAGGA
rnacentral:misc_RNA from 1 species